rnacentral:rRNA from 1 species
CCAGACUCCUACGGGAGGCAGCAGUGGGGAAUAUUGCACAAUGGGGGAAACCCUGAUGCAGCGACGCCGCGUGAGUGAAGAAGUAUUUCGGUAUGUAAAGCUCUAUCAGCAGGGAAGAUAAUGACGGUACCUGAGUAAGAAGCCCCGGCUAACUACGUGCCAGCAGCCGCGGUAAUACGUAGGGGGCAAGCGUUAUCCGGAUUUACUGGGUGUAAAGGGAGCGUAGACGGCUGUGCAAGCCUGAAGUGAAAGGCGGGGGCCCAACCCCGGAACUGCUUUGGAAACUGUGCAGCUCGAGUGCAGGAGAGGUAAGCGGAAUUCCUAGUGUAGCGGUGAAAUGCGUAGAUAUUAGGAGGAACACCAGUGGCGAAGGCGGCUUACUGGACUGUAACUGACGUUGAGGCUCGAAAGCGUGGGGAGCAAACAGGAUUAGAUACCCUGGUA